AGCAGCCGCGGUAAUUCCAGCUCCAAUAGCGUAUAUUAAAGUUGUUGCAGUUAAAAAGCUCGUAGUUGAAUUUCGGGGUUAGUAGGUUGGUCAUGCCUCUGGUAUGUACUGGCCUCACUGAUUCCUCCUUCCUGAUGAACCGUAAUGCCAUUAAUUUGGUGUUGCGGGGAAUUUGGACUGUUACUUUGAAAAAUUAGAGUGUUUAAAGCAGGCUCACGCUUGAAUACAUUAGCAUGGAAUAAUGAAAUAGGACGUUUGACCCUAUUUUGUUGGUUUCUAGGAUCGACGUAAUGAUUAAUAGGGAUAGUUGGGGGCAUUAGUAUUCAAUUGUCAGAGGUGAAAUUCUUGGAUUUAUUGAAGACUAACUACUGCGAAAGCAUUUGCCAAGGAUGUUUUCAUUAAUCAAGAACGAAAGUUAGGGGAUCGAAGACGAUCAGAUACCGUCGUAGUCUUAACCAUAAACUAUGCCGACUAGGGAUCGGAUGAUGUUAAUUUUAUAAUGACUCAUUCGGCGCCUUAA
rnacentral:rRNA from 1 species